UACGAGGGGGGCGAGCGUUGUUCGGAAUUAUUGGGCGUAAAGGGUGCGUAGGCGGUUUGGUAAGUCUGAUGUGAAAUCUAUGGGCUCAACUCAUAGUCUGCAUCGGAAACUGCCGGGCUUGAGUAUGGGAGAGGUGAGUGGAAUUCCCAGUGUAGCGGUGAAAUGCGUAGAUAUUGGGAGGAACACCAGUGGCGAAGGCGGCUCACUGGACCGGUACUGACGCUGAUGCGCGAAAGCGUGGGGAGCAAACGGG
rnacentral:rRNA from 1 species